rnacentral:rRNA from 1 species
UGGGGGGCCCUUCGGGAGGCAGCAGUGGGGAAUAUUGCACAAUGGGCGCAAGCCUGAUGCAGCAACGCCGCGUGCGGGAUGACGGCCUUCGGGUUGUAAACCGCUUUUAGUAAGGAAGAAGGGGAGCUUGCUCCUUGACGGUACUUGCAGAAAAAGGACCGGCUAACUACGUGCCAGCAGCCGCGGUAAUACGUAGGGUCCGAGCGUUGUCCGGAAUUAUUGGGCGUAAAGAGCUCGUAGGCGGUUUGUCGCGUCUGCUGUGAAAUCCCGAGGCUCAACCUCGGGUCUGCAGUGGGUACGGGCAGACUGGAGUGCGGUAGGGGAGAAUGGAAUUCCUGGUGUAGCGGUGGAAUGCGCAGAUAUCAGGAGGAACACCGAUGGCGAAGGCAGUUCUCUGGGCCGUAACUGACGCUGAGGAGCGAAAGCGUGGGGAGCGAACAGGAUUAGAUACCCUGGUAGUCCACGCCGUAAACGUUGGGCGCUAGAUGUGGGGACCUUUCCACGGUUUCCGUGUCGUAGCUAACGCAUAAGCGCCCCGCCGCGAGCC